UACGGAGGGGGCUAGCGUUGUUCGGAAGUACUGGGCGUAAAGCGCACGUAGGCGGCUUUGCAAGUUAGAGGUGAAAGCCCGGGGCUCAACUCCGGAAUUGCCUUUAAAACUGCAUCGCUAGAAUUGUGGAGAGGUAAGUGGAAUUCCGAGUGUAGAGGUGAAAUUCGUAGAUAUUCGGAAGAACACCAGUGGCGAAGGCGACUUACUGGACACAUAUUGACGCUGAGGUGCGGAAGCGUGGGGAGCAAACAGG
rnacentral:rRNA from 1 species